GCCAGCAUGACAGAGUGGUUUCAGUGUUGGACUACACUCUGGAGACCAGGGUUCAAUUCCCAGUUUGGCC